ACAUGUGCUCAAUAAACACGGUGACAAACGAAGGCUUCAAAUUCUUGGUCAACACUCUGGAUAAACGAUACGUGAUCCCCUCGCGUAAUUAUUUUUCAAAGGUGGCACUACCUGCGAUGUACAGAAAACGCAGAGGGGAAAUAGAGCGUGAUCUUGCCAAUAUAAAGUACUUUGCAACUACAACGGAUCUGUGGUCAAGCAGCACAAUGGAUCAGUACAUGAGUUUGACAAUUCAUUACAUCGAUGAGGAUUUUGCAAUGCAGAGUCGAUGCUUGCAAACAUCUUUUUUCCCGCAAGAUCACACGGGAGAGUCAAUUGCCCAGGGCCUGAGGGAGUCGAUGGCCUCUUGGAGCUUGCAGGAGGAUCGGCUUGUCUGCAUUACAACAGACAACGGAGCUAAUGUGGUAAAGGCAGCUUCUCUAAAUAAUUGGACUAGGCUUCAGUGCUUUGGCCACAGACUCCAUCUAGCAAUAGAGAAUGCAAUGAGAGAUCCUCGGAUUUAUCGAGCAGUGGGUCUCUGCAAAAAGCUGGUAAGCAGUUUCUCUUACAGCUGGCGACGUAAAAAGCAGCUGACGGAGGCACAAAGAGAACUGAAGCUUCCAGAGCAUACACUGAAGACUGAAUGUCCCACAAGGUGGGGAUCAAGGCAAGCAAUGAUUGCACGAGUCCUGGAGCAGAAGAGGGCGAUUUCUCAGCUCUUGUCCGAUGACAGAAAAGCCAGACACCUCAUCCCUACCUGGCAGGACACAGAUGUCCUUGAGGCCAUAAAUCCCUCAGCCCUCUAUUGGAAUUUACUGAUGCGCUUUCCAGUGAGAAGUAUGUCAGCGUUUCCUUUGUGAAGCCAGUCCUCCACCUUUUCAGAUCAUCCAUCUUGAAAGUGAACGAUGAUGAGACAGACCUUACCUGCACCAUCAAGACAAAAAUCCUGAGCUAUCUGGAUGAAAAAUUCAAUGACCCUCUGACACAAGAACUACUUGAUAUGGCUUCUGCGCUAGAUCCACGGUUCAAGCUCAGCUACGUCAGUGAGGACAAUGUUGCACCAAUUCAUGCCAGACUGACUUCUGAAAUGGCGAGGACUGCACCUGCAGCCAUGGCUGAGAUGGGCCCAACAACUGAUCCCCAUGGUGAGCCUGCUGAGGAUGCACCCACUACAAAAAAGAAAAAGACCUUGGGGAGUUUCUUCAAGACUGCUGAGGGAGCAGCGGCAGCCACACAAAGACUCAGUCCUCUCCAAGAACAACAAGCUAUAUCUUCUGAGCUACAGUCGUACCUACAAUCAGGUAACCUAGACAGUGAGGAGGACCCGCUAGACUGGUGGAGGGAACAUCAGAGACUCUUCCCACGUCUCUCAAAACUGGCAAAGAAAUACUUGUGCAUCCCGGCUACAAGUUCUCCCUCUGAGAGGGUGUUCAGCACAGGGGGGAAUGUGGUGACCUGCCUUCGCUCAUCCCUCAAGCCAGAAAAUGUUGACAGGCUAGUGUUUCUUUCCAAAAACCUGUAAACUACAGUACUCUUUUCGACAUAGUUGAAAUGUUCUUAUUUGGUUACAUUCUGUUAUGGAAUAUUUGUUUCUUAUUGAUUGUAUAUUUUAUUUUUAGUUUUAUUCACAUCCAUUAUGCAGGUACAACUUAAGUUUAUAUUUUGCUUAAAACUAAAUAUAUAUUACUAAAAUAUAUUUACACAUUGUAAAAUGUAAAAUAGUGCCCUGUUGAAGUUUUGCUACAUUUUCUUUAUUGUUUUAAUUUAUUUUUUAUUUAUUCUUUAAGGAGAUUCACUGAAUUUUGGUGAAUAAAAGGACCUAUUUUAUUUUGAUGCACAUAUCUGUACAUUAUCAGGAAUGUUGCACAAUAUGGAUGUGAA